rnacentral:rRNA from 1 species
AUUGAACGCUAGCGGGAUGCUUUACACAUGCAAGUCGAACGGCAGCACGAGAGAGCUUGCUCUCUUGGUGGCGAGUGGCGGACGGGUGAGUAAUAUAUCGGAACGUGCCCAGUAGCGGGGGAUAACUACUCGAAAGAGUGGCUAAUACCGCAUACGCCCUACGGGGGAAAGGGGGGGAUCGCAAGACCUCUCACUAUUGGAGCGGCCGAUAUCGGAUUAGCUAGUUGGUGGGGUAAAGGCUCACCAAGGCAACGAUCCGUAGCUGGUUUGAGAGGACGACCAGCCACACUGGGACUGAGACACGGCCCAGACUCCUACGGGAGGCAGCAGUGGGGAAUUUUGGACAAUGGGGGAAACCCUGAUCCAGCCAUCCCGCGUGUAUGAUGAAGGCCUUCGGGUUGUAAAGUACUUUUGGCAGAGAAGAAAAGGCAUCCCCUAAUACGGGAUGCUGCUGACGGUAUCUGCAGAAUAAGCACCGGCUAACUACGUGC